rnacentral:lncRNA from 1 species
ACAACGGACGCUGAGCAGUGCCACACGAGUGAUUUGCGUGCCCGCGAUCGGACGGCCCAGAUCUGCUCCUGCGCGCAUGGACGGCCCAGAUGCGUGCUUUCUCCAAACGCGAUCAGACGGUCAGAUUUAAACGCGAUCAAUGGUCCAGAUCUACUUCCCAUUUAAUCACGAUUGAAUAGUACAGAUCAAAUGCGAUGGACGGUCCAAAUUAAAAGGGACGGAUAUAAAUAACUCUCUUCACAUCAAACCCUAACCCUAGUCGCUAGACACCCUCGCCGGAGAAGAAGACCUAGCCGUUGGGAAGGAGAGCCGCUGCCACCCACCGUCGCGUUAGAGCCACUUCCGACCGUUGAAAAAAGUAAAUUUUUUUUCCUUUGCUUGGAAUUCCAUUUUAAACACCCCCAUGGGCAAAUCAGAGCCAGAAGACUGGCGAAUUGUCAAAAAUUGGGGGCAAAGCCCAGCUGUGCCACCAUAGAAAAUUUUAAAAACCGUUUCCGAUGAGGCCCUUCCUGAUUCUCGUUAUGCAUAAUUCUUUCACCAUUGUAACCGUCAUUUCCUCCUCUACAGGUUGACUGAAUUAAAGCACCCGACCGUAAAGGUGAGUUGGCGGAGCCACCGCACCAGAGAACCUCGC